rnacentral:tRNA from 1 species
UGGGCUGUAGCUCAGCAGAAGAGUGCUUGCCUAGCAUGCAUGAGGCAGUGGGUUUGAAUCUCAGCUCCA